AUUGAACGCUGGCGGCAGGCCUAACACAUGCAAGUCGAACGGCAGCACGGGAGCAAUCCUGGUGGCGAGUGGCGAACGGGUGAGUAAUAUAUCGGAACGUGCCCAGUCGUGGGGAUAACGUAGCGAAAGCUACGCUAAUACCGCAUACGAUCUAUGGAUGAAAGCGGGGGAUCGCAAGACCUCGCGCGAUUGGAGCGGCCGAUAUCAGAUUAGGUAGUUGGUGAGGUAAAGGCUCACCAAGCCGACGAUCUGUAGCUGGUCUGAGAGGACGACCAGCCACACUGGGACUGAGACACGGCCCAGACUCCUACGGGAGGCAGCAGUGGGGAAUUUUGGACAAUGGGCGCAAGCCUGAUCCAGCAAUGCCGCGUGCAGGAUGAAGGCCUCGGUUGUAACGU
rnacentral:rRNA from 1 species